AACGGAGCACGCUAGCGCUAGCGCGCUAGCUACACACACAGUAGUGCAGUGGAAAUUAGAACUGCUGCAGUCAGCUGAUCGACGCGAAGACGACAAGAAGACGGCGACAAUAAAAAUGCCAAGCUCUUGUGCCUGCUAUUGUUGCUCCAAUCGUUGGAAGAGUGGAACGUCUAUUUGUUUCCACCGGUACAUGUAUUCAUCCAAGGGAUGACAGAGAAAAAUACAGGCAUACACUGACGGCACAGGCAGUCCCUUCUUUGUUUCUUUGUCAUCCACCCCUCAAGCAGCCUGUCAUCCAAAAGAGGAAGCCUCCCAUCAAAAGAAGUCUGCCAACAGAGGAUACAGUACCAUCUGGGCCUUCACCCAAAAGGAUUCACAAUGAACAUUCAUUAAUUUGAAUGAGGAGUUGAUGAAAGAAAAGCUGCAAGACACUCGGAAAAGGCUUGCUGAAACAAUGAAGGAACUCAAGUUUGCGAAAAGAAAAAUCAAGACGAGAGAGAAGACCAUCUCAUCUCUCCUUAGCAGCAUUUUUAUGAUAAAUAAUAUUUAGAAGAUGAAAAUGACCAUUGUGAACAGCUCAUUAGGCAUUUCAUUUUGCUGUACAUUAAGAUUGUUUCCCAACAUCACGGCAGGCUGUUCACUCGUCGUUCAGCCAUUAAAAAGGCCUCGUAAAAACCUAUUGUGCACCAGCUCCAAUCCCAUGAAAGAAUGUAAAGCUAUUCUACACAGCGUUCAACAAAAAGUGAUCGAAUCUGUUUAAUAGGCAUAAGGUGUUUAAAGACCUAAAAGCAACAUUUUAUAUCAAUAAUAUUCAGAAGAUGAAGGUGAUCAUUGUGUACAACAGCUCUUAAGGCAUUUCAGUUCGCUGUACAUUAAGACUGUUUCCCAUCAUUACAACAGGCUGUUCACUCGUCAUUAUGUUAAUUUGUCUUCUUGAUGGCUGAUUGUUAUUAACGAAGGCAAUUUUGCUUCUAGGUCAGUAAUUUUGACAAACCUGACUAUAACAAGGACAUUGGAACUCGGACAAUUUGUUAUUAAUGUCACUAAUCUCCCAGGAUUCAGAAGUCAGGAUUAAAAGAAAAAGAACAUGAAGGCUUGUGAUCAGCAAAAUUACAUUGUUAUAACAGGGCUGUAUGGUUAUAUCUGGGCCCCGUUGCAUAAAAGUUACUAUCAUGGAAACUUUGCCACCCAAUGGUAACUUUCAAGGGAUCCUUGAUUUUGAUUGGCUGAUGAGCAUUGUUACCAUGGUAGUUACCAUUGGAUGGUUAAGUUACCAUAAUGGUAACUUUUAUGCAACGGGACCCAGAUCACUUAAUAUUGAGUUUCAACAAUAUACAUGAUUUUAACUUUGAAAUACAUUUACUGUCAUUUUCCUUACCAGAAUUUUUCCAAAAAAUGAAAAUUGUUUUUUUGGGGUCCUCCAUUUAUCCUUCUGUCUAUUUGACAGAUCAGUUUUAAACUUUGAUCAUGUAUGCAUAAAGGGGUGAGGAGGAUAGAUAUAUUAUCUACUUGCUUUAUUGUUCCAGGAUUAAGUCAAGAAUCCAGUUACAAGAUAUUACUUUAGAACAAUUGCCAUAGGGGCUUUUGUUUUGUACAUGUAGUCAUGUACUACCAUUUUUAUACAUGUACAUCCCUUAAAAUAAUGAUAAAAAUGAAUGAAUAAAUGAAUGAAUAAUUGAUUGAAAAUCUGAAUUAAAAAACUGUAAUUCAAAAGCAUUCGUAUAAACAGUAUAAACAAUAUGGGAGCAAAGCAUAUAUCACUUGUAUGAUAUUCUUUUGGAUGUAUACAAUGCAUUUUCUCAAUGAUAAGAUUGCCAUUUUGAGUAUGUGUGUACAGUAAAAUGGGGGCAAAUUGGACACGGAGACAUAACCUAUGACUAUGACAUUUACAUAUUUUUGCUGAGCUGUUGGCUUUUUUGGAAAAUAUAUGUUUAUGAUAUGAAAGGAGUGGCGUAGAGGCAUCACUUUAUAACAUACAAAAAUAUUUUCAAUGAAACCAACUGAAAAAAAAAUGAUUUUGAAACUGUGUAGACUCACCCAUGUUAACAAUAUGCCAACUUUUUGAAAUUAAAUAAAGACUCUGUCAGAAAGGU
rnacentral:lncRNA from 1 species